UACAGUUUGUACCCUUGUGUCCUUGACAUGUGUUAAGUUUAUUUUUAAGUUUCUCUUUGAUAGUAGAACUUGAAAGGUGUGUUUUAAAGAAAUCUUGGGAAUACCCCAUUUUUCCCUUGAAUAGAAGGAAAUGGACAAUGAUACAUUGGUGGAGACCAGUGCUGCGGCACAGACAGCUUUCAUACUCUUAAAUUCAUAAGACUGUAUGAUGAAUCUGAUUGUACAUAAGCGAGAAGUUUAUAUGAGACUAGGCCAGCGAUGGAUGACUGGUUUGAGAUAUUUUUAUACAAACUCCUAGAAACACUGACCAGCCUCCCCAGGUGCCACUUCACGGACUAGACUUCUGCAAUUGUUAAAGCUUGUGGUGGUGGCAGAACAAAUUCAAGGUACGUACAUUGCACUGUAUAUAAGAAGUUUUGAAAUUUAUUGCCAAUAGAUAACUUGGUGACAAUUUAUUAAUGGGCUGGAAGCAGAAGACUCAAAUGCACAUACAAAUCUACCACAAGCAAUAUGAAAGGUGCAAGUUUCCUUUGGCAGCUCAGAGUCCUUCGUUGAAGUUGGUGAAGGUGCGGUUGCUCCAGCUUGUCUUCAAAUAAGUUGAAGACAGUCUGUACAAUGAAUUGGAGAACCUGAAGUGAAGUUAACCUCAAGCUUAAAUGCUUCCCGGAGCUAAUCGUCCUCAAGGAAAGCUUACAUGGAACCCAGAUCUACUUUUCCACCAAGAAGAAAGAGUCUUGUUUCAUUAAGAAUCCAAGUUUACAAAUUUUACUUUUAAAAAGUUAAUUAUAGCAAUGUUUAAGCAGUAUCUGUGUUUACUAUUUUGAUUACUACUGCUUCAGCAUUUCUGCUUUAGUCAAACCUACUGUAACUGUAGAUGGAUGCUGUUCUGCCAGAUACUAUCAUUUUGGCAACUGUUGUUUUUGUCUUACUCUAAGCUGAUUUUCUCUGUUUUGCUGUCUCCGCUACCACUGCUGUUCAUGGUGCACUUUCUAUGCAGCCAAUAUCUUCAUUCUUUUGUAUCCACAGUUAAUGUUCAACCUGAUUAUCCAGUUUGUGGGCAAUUCUUACUGGACUAAUUGGUAUAUCUCUAUACCUCCUACUUCAGUCAAACCUGCACAUUUGCUAUGCCCGCUGCCAGUGUUUGCUGUCUCUACUCCUGUGUAGUUGCAGUUUUGCCAGUUGCUACCAUUUCUUGCCCCUUCCACUGUACUGGCUGUUUCUGCUUUUUCUUGCCCCUUCCACUGUACUGGUUGUUUCUGCUUAUAAGUCCCAGUUACUGUCAAGCUGCAGUUUUUACAGAGUUAAUUCUUGUACUGCCUUACAGUUCCUCCUAAUGCUGAUCUAACUUGUACUAGCAAUUACUACUGAAAAACUGCUUCAGCACUUGCUGUCCUGAAAACAUACUGUCCCUCCUGCUUCUGUCACACCUACAGUAACUGCAGUCUCUGCCGUGAAUGCUACACCUGCUGUGUCAAAAUGGUUGCAGCUGUUCAGUCUCUGCUGUCCACAUCAUCCUACUGUACUAAUGGUUCCUGCUUCUCCUUUGACUUCUGUUCUGCUAGUUGCUACUACUUCUCUCUUACUGUGAAUCAUCUGCACUUGUUAAGUUCUGCACUGUGAAAGGUACCCACAUUUGCUAUUCCAUAUUUUUUAUCUGUUUCACUGGUCUUGUGUUGUAUGUUCUGGUUUUUUGCAGUUCAGUGCUUUUGUCACAGCUGCUAAGACUGCUGUCCAGUGGUUGUUGCAGGUUGGUGCAUGAUUUCUCCUUGACUCCUGCUGUGUUAGUGGCUGCUGCACACCCAGUUGGUAAUAUUUCUGUGAAAGCAGUUUCUAUUUCAAGCUGACCUGACUGAUGUACCAGUAGAUGUGUAAUGUUAAUAAUGCAGUUUCCAUGCAGGUGCUUCUUGCACUGUCUUCAGUACAGUUACUACUGUGUUAAUUCUACUAUGAUAGUACCAAUUAUUAUUACUGGACUACUACUUCCCCAGUAGCUGGCUGUUGUUACAUUACAUGGUAUUUUUCAACACUGAUAAUUGUUGCUCUAAAACCUCUGCCCACUACUUCUGUCAUGCCUGCUGUGACUGCCAUUUCUGCCACACUUGACUAAUUACAGUUGCUUUGCUUGUUGUUCAAUAGUUGCUGCAGUUUAGUGCAUAAUUUCUCCAUAACUCUGCUACGUUUGUUGUUGUCCAUUAUUCCAGUUGCUGUUACUGUCAUGCAGUGCUGCUACUUUUGCUGUGCAUAUUACUAUUGCUGGCUGCUGUACCACCUGUUUUACCCAAUAAGCUGGCCACAGCUACUGGAUUACUGCUGCUUCAGUUUAUACUGGUCUUGUGCUGCACUGUACUGACAAUUGCUGCAUUGCCUGUUUGUCACACUUGCUUGGCCUUCUGCUUCUGUUCAGCACCUGCUGUCACUCCUACAGUUAGACAAAAACAGCAGCCACAGGAACCACUAACACUUUGCUUCCUGUAUCUUUAUCUGUGGGGCCAGCUACCAUUGCUGUUCUUGAUACACUUUCCAAGCAGACAAUCCCUGCAUUGUACGUAGAACUGUUCCACCAACUGCCAGGGUUCAGUGCAUGCUGCUUCUGUUCCACAUACUACUAUAAUUGCCAUCUUCACCAUCGCUCCUGGGACAGGUGCCACUGCCUUGACUGCUAUACCUACUCCAACUGCUGUUUAGUAAUUGUUGACAUGAAUUCUGCCAGCUGGCAUCAACACUGGUGGUGUUAGUGGCUUUGUUUCUCCUACCAAGGCUGCUAUUAUGUUUGUUAUUUAUGACUAAUUCCUGAUCCUGCUACUAUAUUAAAAAUGCAGCAUACCCUUCAAAGUCUACAAUUUCUUCUUCUUGUUCUACUUAUUUAGUCCUUGUUCUAGUUACUGGUCCAGUGUGUCAAGUUGGUAAUUGCUACUGACUUUGCUUCCACAUGCCUUCUGUACUUCUUGUUUAUACAAACAGCACGACUACUCUGCUACUCCACCUUUGCCUGUUGUUCAGAGCCCAUUGUCUCGAUCACUCCUGAUGCACCAAUUGUUGCUGCACCUGCUGUGGCUGCUCUUUUGUCAUUAACUUGCUAAGGCUAUUGUCUGUCCCUCAUAGUGAGCUGACUGUUAAGUUUAUUCUGCCAGCUAGUGUUGUUCUUGUACUUUGUGUAGACAAUUCCUGCACUGUCUUCAGUAAUUACAGUUGCUGUUCCAUUAGUUGUUAUCCACUGUGCUGGCAAUAGCUACUGGAAUAAUGCUCCUUCAGUGACUGCUGCUUCUCAUACACCUUCUGUAACUGUCAUCACCACCAAACCUAUUGUGAAAAUUACCUUUGCCUUAAUUGCCACACCUGCUAUGAAUUGGAGGCUCUUGCCUAAUGCCUCUUAUGCUAACAGUUCCAGUUUCUGCUGCACUGGUUGCUGUUGCUCCUAAUGUGGCUGCUGUUGGAGUUCUUGCUCAUAAUAAGGUUGCUGAUCUGUUCACUGCAAAUAUAUAUUACAAUAUGUGACUGCUUUUUCUGUUUCAAGCUGUUCCAUGUGUUUCUGCUUCUAUAAUUGCUGGCUACUACUGCUCUACCUGCUGUAUUUUCUAUGCAGGUAAUUCUUGCAAGGUCUUCAGUAACUAUAAUUCACCUUUUUUUUUUAUCCACAACACUUGCUGUUGCAACUGAUGCUCUACUCUAUCCACAACACUUGCUGUUGCAACUGAUGCUCUACUCUCUCCUGCUACUUUGUCCUUUUCAGCAGUUGCUAUUUACUAAUUCUGUUGCCGAGCACCUGCAGUCACUUCCUCCUGGCUAUAACUAAAUGAAUACUGCCUUUCUUUUAACCUUUGCUUUGUCCAUAUCUUCUUGAUCUGAUAAGGGUAUAAAUACUGACUAGGAUGCCAAAAUCUGCACCCACAAAUACACCCUAUGCAAGCAAAAGUUUCUUUCAGGAUGAAGAAUGGAAUUGGAAAUUAUACAUGCUGGGUAGCUUAAGUCAGAUUAAGCAAGUAAGCAAUUAAAAGAUCAUAUUUAGCUGGCAUGAGUAACUGUUAAACAGAUUUCUAGUCAAAGAUCUGAUCUUCUGAAGCAAAGAAUUAUUCUUCUGAAAACAGCCAGUUUUUACUGACACCUCCCACUCAGCUUUUCAGACAUCCAUUAAGAACUACAAAUAAUUAUCUUAUGGUGUUGCAUAGUUGCCAGGUAAAGAGGCCCACCACCUUGGAUUGUUAUAUUUUUAACGAGACAAAUUUUUCUUUCAUCUACAGAAAAAUUGGUUAUUUGGCUUGAUCCACCUUAACAGGCAAUUGUAUAGGUAAAAUGAGGUUUGUAAUUUGGAAUGCAGACUGAAGUUAGAGGAAAAUCACAAGUACUAUAGUAUAUAAGAGUACCAUAUUCUGAAGAGGAAACUUGAAAGCAAUUUGUGUUAAACGUAAAAGCAAUUUGUGUUAAUAGGCAUCGAAAGAUAAAAAUGCAUUAGAAUUUGGCAUCAAGAAAGUUAAGCAGCAUUUAGAACCCUGGCAUUAACAAAAUUAAGAAUAUAUUAGAACCCCAGCAACAAGAAUGUCAAGAAUCUAUAUUAGAACCCUGGCAGUGUGAGGUUAAUUCCUGCCGAUUAUAGUAGUGUGUCUUAUAGAAUACUAGUUACAUAACUAGAAUACUAGUUACAUAACAGGAACACCAAUGUGCUGUACUUGCUACAUUUGUCUUUAAAUUAUAUGUGGAGGAUUUCCAAUAUAGUGUAAGGUAUUAACAACCAACUAUACAUAAUGUACCACAUUGAAAUCAGUUAAAUAAAAUUUGCAUUAUUUA